rnacentral:misc_RNA from 1 species
GAUGAAGAACGCAGCGAAAUGCGAUAAGUAAUGUGAAUUGCAGAAUUCAGUGAAUCAUCGAAUCUUUGAACGCAUCUUGCGCUCCUUGGUAUUCUGAGGAGCAUGCCUGUUUGAGUGUAAUUAAAUUCUCAACUACACUGACUUUGAAUUGGUGUGGCUUGGAUUUGGGGGGAAAAUUGUUGUGGGCUUUUUGUAUAGUCUGCUCCCCUGAAAUUGAUUAGCGGUACCUUUGUGGAACUGUCUACAGGUGUGAUAAUUAUCUACAUCUUAGACAUCUGCUGGAAUGCUGCUUUCUAAACCUUACUUGUAUUGACAAUCUUGACCUCAAAUCAGGUAGGACUACCCGCUGAACUUAAGCAUAUCAAUAAGCGGAGGA